AACGAACGCUGGCGGCAUGCCUAACACAUGCAAGUCGAACGAGACCUUCGGGCCUAGUGGCGCACGGGUGCGUAACGCGUGGGAACCUGCACUUAGGUUCGGAAUAACUCCCCGAAAGGGGUGCUAAUACCGGAUAAUGUCUUCGGACCAAAGAUUUAUCGCGUUUGGAUGGGCCCGCGUUGGAUUAGCUAGUUGGUAGGGUAAAAGCCUACCAAGGCGACGAUCCAUAGCUGGUCUGAGAGGAUGAUCAGCCACACUGGGACUGAGACACGGCCCAGACUCCUACGGGAGGCAGCAGUGGGGAAUAUUGGACAAUGGGCGAAAGCCUGAUCCAGCAAUGCCGCGUGAGUGAGGAAGGCCUUAGGGUUGUAAAGCUCUUUUACCCGGGAUGAUAAUGACAGUACCGGGAGAAUAAGCUCCGGCUAACUCCGUG
rnacentral:rRNA from 1 species